rnacentral:lncRNA from 1 species
CAGAGAUGCCCCUGAAAGACUGUGUUGGUGGACCACAGAUGCUCAACUCUUUUCUGACCUUCACACCCAGCGUAGCACAAGUCCCUCCUCGGUCUCUGACUCCAGGAAAGGUCUUGCUUGCCCUUGUCAAAGGCUGUGUGUCCCGUCUCUGAAGAGUAGCAGCACAUGAGUCUCACCUUAAAGCAUUUGUUCUGUCAUACAGCUGUGCUGGACUGGUUCGUGGGGGCCAUUAUGCUUUUGUGGAGAUCCCUCUGCAGUGCAGUAAGAAGAGAACCAACAGGAAGUUCUUUUGAGUGCAAAGGUGAAGAAAGGAGGCAGAAAUCCUAUGCUUCUCGGGAAGUUUUGUAUGGACAAGAUCUAUGAAGGCCAAGUGGAGGUGACUGGAGAGCAAUGCAAUGUGGAGAGCAUUGAUGGUCAGCCUGGUGCCUUCACUUGAUAUUUGGAUGCAGGUCUUGCCUGAACUACAACUGGCAAUAAAAUUUUGGGGACCCUGAAGGAAGCUGUAGAUGGAGGCUUGCCUAUUCCUCAUUGUGAUCUUGGAUUUUGAUUAUGAAAGCCAGGAGUGCAAUGCAGAAGUCCAUUGGAAGCACAUCCUGGGUCAGAAUGUCACAGACUAGAUGUGCUACCCAAAGGAGGAAGAGGAAGAUGCUAUAAGAAACAGUUCUCUCAAUGCAUAAAGAAUGGCGUGACUCCAGACAUGAUGGAGGAGAUGUAUAAGGAAGCUCAUGCUGCC